AUACUUACCUGGCAGGGGAGAUACCAUGAUCAAGAAGGUGGUUCACCCAGGGCGAGGCUCAGCCUUUGCACUCCGGCUGUGCUGACCCCUGCGAAUUCCCCAAAUGUGGGAAUCUCGACUGCAUAAUUUCUGGUAGUGGGGGACUGCGUUCGCGCUCUCCCCUG
ensembl:snRNA U1 U1 spliceosomal RNA